rnacentral:lncRNA from 1 species
UCCUGCCCGCCGCCCGCCUCGGCGCAGUGGUCUGGAGCUGGGAGGAAAGGGGCUAGCAGAGCCGGACCUUGGUCCCCCGGCUGCCCUUUGCCGGCUUUUCCCUCUCCCUUCCAUCCGUCCAGUCCCCACCGUCGAGCCCCUCCGGCCCCACGGUCAGGAGCGGACCAGGCCGUCCAGGCCUCCCAGCGGGGCCCUGCACUCUUGCCCCUAGAAUCCCUUCGGGAUGCCCUCCGACCCAGGGACGGCGGGCCUGGUCCAUUUCCCUGCCCGGUUAGUCAGCCCCUCCAACCCGAUUCCUGGAGCCCCGCCCGGUCCCUGGGAGAGUAAGGGCCUCUCUCUGCUGACCGGCGGCCUCCUCCUCCUCUUCUUCCUUCUCCUCGCCCUUCCCUUCCCUGUCAGGUGAAGGCCGGCCAGCUGGUCCUCCGGUCCUCAAUGGUGUCUUCGCCACCUGGUUACCAUGACGCCGAGCCCAGGUACGUGGGGAUGAAGAGGGAGACGGGUCCCCCCUCCCGCCGCCGAGGUAAGAGCCGAGGGUCCGGGGGCGCGGGGGGGGUCUGCCAGGCUCCCCCCUGGGUGAGCAGGUUGGCCCCGACCCCCUGCACUGUUGAGCCGGCGACCCCUCGUUUCCAGCUGGAGACCGGUCCUCAGACAGCCCUUCCUCCCUCCCUCCAUUUGGCUCCCACGUCUUUUUCCCGGCCUGGAGCCCGGCUCUCCCCGAGAUGCCCGAGCCCGGCUCCCGGGUGGGCGCCCCGGCCCCUCCCCGGCCUGCCCCGGGCGGCCCCCAUCCCCACCAGCAGCGGGUGUGACAGCCCCGGAGCGUGACCCGAGCGGACCCGGAGCCGCCGGCUCAAGGUGAGCACGUGGGGUCCCCCUCGCCCCCCACCGCCCGCCCAGCCGGGGUCGGGAACUGAGGGCCCCCCCGGAACCCAGAUGGGGGGCAAGGCCCGGAGAGGGGCGUGCCAGGCGGAGCGGGUUGGCGCCAGGCCCGGGGUCGGGAGGGGGGGGAGAAGAAGGGCCAGAGCUGGAGAUGAGAAGCCGGGCAUCCCGUCCCUCAAGAAGCGGGAGGAGAGGAAGGGGAGUGGGGCUUGGUGGGGUGAACCCCACUCUCCGUUUUCCUCGGUGACCCUUGACCGCGAAGGGCUGGAGGAAGGCGGGCCGGGGUCCGGGAGCCCGGACCGCGCUGGCUGCCAGCCCUUCCAUGUCCUGCUCUGUUUGUCCCCUGCCCCCCGCCAGGCUGGUGUGACAUCAUGGGGAGCUGCUGCAGCUGCCUGGACAAAGAUGGCAUCCCAGAUGACCACCCUACCAAGUUCAAGGUGUCGAACGUGGACGACGCGGGCACGGAGCUGGGCACCGGGGUCAUGGAGUUGACUCGCCAGGAGCUGGUGCUGCACAUGCCCGGGCGCGAAGCUGUCCGCUGGCCUUACCUCUGCCUGCGCCGCUACGGCUACGAUGCCAGCCUCUUCUCCUUCGAGAGCGGACGCCGCUGCCAGACCGGCCAGGGUGAGGCCCGGGCCCCACCCCGGCUGCCCGCAAAUAGCCAUGGGGACGGGGCGGGGGGCGGUUCUCUGGCCGGCCCAAGAGGGAGCAGGAGGACCAGGAGGACGGAAUCGGAGUCAGCGUACUGAGCGGGCAGCAGGGAAGGUGUCCUGCACCGGGGUCGGGACUUUGGCCUGGGCAGGCAGGGUCCCGUUCAGGAUGUGGGAGACGAGUGGGAGGCAGGCGGAACUAGAAAAGCCCAUUCUAACUAUCCCCCCUUGUCCUCGUUCCCUUCUCGCUCCUCUCUCGUGGAGACGGCAAGAUGGAGACACAGAGAGACGGUGAGGAGGAGGCGAGAGACGGAGAGACUGCCAGACAGAGGCACAGAGUCAGAGAUGGAGAGACAGAGCUAUAGAGACAGAGAGAUGGCAAAAGAGGCAAAGAGAGAGAGAUGGUGAGAAAGGCACAGAGACAGAGAGAUGGCAAGAUGGAGGCACAGUGACAGAAAGACAGCGAGACUGAGGCACAGAGACGGAAAUGGCAGGAAGGAAGCACAGAGACAGAGACGGCAAGAAGGAGGCACAAGGUAGAGAGAUGGGAGAUGGAGAGACAGAGGUCCAGGGAUGACUGUCCCUCUAGAUUGUAAACUCAUUGUGGGCAGGGAACACAUCUGCCAACUAUGUUGUAUUGUACUCUCCUAAGUGCUUACUACAGUGCUCUGCCCAUAGUGAGGGCUCAAUAAAUGCCACUGAUAAUGAUUGAUGAUGAUGAGAUGAACCCAGGGAAACAUGAAGAGACAGGGGCAUGGAGAGAAGAUGGAGAUGGAGAGACAGAGCACACGUACCAGACAGGCAAGCAGACACGUGUGCGUAAAACGUGUGUGUGCAUCACGAGGUCCAGUCAAUCAGUGAUAUUUAUUGAGCGCUUAAGGAGUACAGAGCACUGUAAUAACGUAAUAAUAAUUAUGGUAUUUGUUAUGCGCUUUCUAUGGGCCAAGCACUGUUCAAAGCGCUGGGAUAGAUCCAAGGUCAGCAGGUUGUCCCAUGUGGGGCUCACAGUCUUAAUCCCCAUUUUCCAGAUGAAGUAACUGAAGCGCAGAGAAGCUAAGUGACCUGCCCAAAGUCACACAGCUGACAAGUGGCGGAGCCGGGUUUAGAACCCACGACCUCCGACUCCCAAGCCCGGGCUUUUUCCACUGAGCCACGUUGCUUCUCAUACUAAGCGCUUGGGAGAGUACAUUUCAGCAGAGGAGAUAUAGUCAGUCAAUCCCUGCCCGGGAGGAUCUUAGAAGCCUGAAGGGUUGAAGAGAGAUUCCAGUGAAUUCUAAGAAGUGGAAGCAGAGACCCAGACUCAGAGGCAGAAAAAAAGCAGACCCGAGUGGAGCUGGGGGGAGAAGUCGGAGCCGCUGACACGUCGGAGCCGCCGGGAUCUGGUCCUUCCAUUUCCUCCCGGGGCUGGACCGGGUCCAGAGGGCCGGGGGAGAGCCCCAUCCAACACCCCCGUCCUGGCUGCGGCUUCUGUCCCGGCUGCGGCUUCUGGCCAGUCAGGGCCGGCCGCCCCCCGACCUCGGAGCCGAUUACGGCUCUGCUGCCGUCUCCCGUUCCCCUCCGUCCCCCCAGAGAGGAGACAGGGCUUGGCCAGCAGUGUGGCCUAGUGGAAAGAGCCUGGACCUGGAAGUCAGAGGUCUUGGGGUUUUUUAUUUUUUUUAAACGGUACAUGUUAGCACUUACUACGUGCCGGGCACUGGACUAAGGUUGUCAGGUUGGAUGCAGUCUAUGCCCACAUGGGGAUUGCGGUCUUUAUCCCCAUUUUACAGAGGAGGUAACUGAGGCCCAGAGAAGGGACGUGACUAGCCCAAAGUUACACAGCAGUCAGGUGAAGGAGCCGGGCCUAGCACCCAGGUUCUUUUGACUCCCAGGCCCGUGCUCUAUCCGCUAGGCCACGCUGGGCUCUAAUCCCAC